UACAGAGGUCCCGAGCGUUGUUCGGAUUCACUGGGCGUAAAGGGUGCGUAGGCGGUCGGAUAAGUUUGAUGUGAAAUCUCCGGGCUUAACCCGGAAACUGCAUUGAAUACUAUUCGGCUUGAGGUCUGGAGGGGGGACUGGAAUUCUCGGUGUAGCAGUGAAAUGCGUAGAGAUCAUGAGGAAGACCAGUGGCGAAGGCGGGUCUCUGGACAGUUCCUGACACUGAGACACGAAGGCCAGGGGAGCAAACGGG
rnacentral:rRNA from 1 species